CAUAAUCAUUUGCCUUUUAAUUGUAGGCUUGUAUGAAUGGUUUGACGAGAGCUAAGCUGUCUCUUUUGGAAUAUUUAAAAUUUAAUUUUUAGGUGAAGAAGCCUAAAUUUAAUUGAGGGACAAGAAGACCCUGUUGAGCUUUAGUAAUAUGGUGUAAGAAAAUCAGUUAAUAGUUGAUUUAGUAUUUUUACAAAAUUAAGAUGCCAUUAAUCUUUAGUUGGGGCGACUGAGGAGCAUGAAAAGCUUCCUUUAAAGUAAGAUAUAUUAUAAAGGUAGUCAGACUAGAGUGGAUCCAGUGUUACUACUGAUUAAAGGAAAAAGUUACCACAGGGAUAACAGCGUAAUCUUUCUGGAGAGAUCUUAUCGAAAGGAGGGUUUGCGACCUCGAUGUUGGACUAGGAUAUCCCAAGGGUGUAGAAGCUCUUGACGGUUGGUCUGUUCGACCAUUAAAAUCCU
rnacentral:rRNA from 1 species